rnacentral:rRNA from 1 species
UUUCGAAUCGUUCACAAUGGGGGCAACCCUGAUGGCGCGACGCCGCGUGGGGGAUGAAGGUCUUCGGAUUGUAAACUCCUGUCAUGGGGGACUAAUGGCCGGGCUCAUACCCUGGUUUGAAUUAACCCCAAGAGGAAGCAGUGGCUAACUCUGUGCCAGCAGCCGCGGUAAUACAGAGACUGCAAGCGUUACUCGGAUUCACUGGGCGUAAAGGGAGCGCAGGCGGACUGGUGUGUCAGGCGUGAAAUCCCGGGGCUCAACCCCGGGGCUGCGCCCGAAACUACCAGUCUAGAGACUUGGAGGGGUGAGCGGAAUUCUUGGUGGAGCAGUGAAAUGCGUAGAUAUCAAGAGGAACACCAACGGCGAAGGCAGCUCACUGGACAAGAUCUGACGCUCAGGC